AGAGUUUGAUCCUGGCUCAGGAUGAACGCUGGCGGCGUGCCUAAUACAUGCAAGUCGAGCGAACCACUUCGGUGGGAAGCGGCGAACGGGUGAGUAACACGUAGGUGAUCUGCCCAUCAGACGGGGACAACGAUUGGAAACGAUCGCUAAUACCGGAUAGGACGAAAGUUUAAAGAUGCUCCUGGCAUCACUGAUGGAUGAGCCUGCGGCGCAUUAGCUAGUUGGUGGGGUAAAGGCCUACCAAGGCGACGAUGCGUAGCCGACCUGAGAGGGUGAACGGCCACACUGGGACUGAGACACGGCCCAGACUCCUACGGGAGGCAGCAGUAGGGAAUCUUCGGCAAUGGGCGAAAGCCUGACCGAGCAACGCCGCGUGAAUGAAGAAGGCCUUCGGGUUGUAAAAUUCUGUUAUAAGGGAAGAAAGGUGAUAGGAGGAAAUGACUAUCAAUUGACGGUACCUUAUGAGAAAGCCACGACUAACUACGUG
rnacentral:rRNA from 1 species